UUUAAAAAUAAAAUUUGAUAAAAAAAACCAUAAAUAAACAAUGGUUAAGAAAGAGAAGACAUCUAACCUUAUAUGAGUGAAGUUACUUCAUUAGACUAUCAAACGCAAUUAAGGUGGAUUGAUUUUAUUGACAAUCUUAUGUAAAGUAAAUAAAUUACUAUUAAUUAAGAAUUUAAUCUAAUUCAUAAUAAUUUUAAUUAUCUAAGUUUUUUAAAAAAAUUAUUAGCCUUUGAUUUAAGCUUCAUAUUACAAAUAGCUAUCUAAUUGAGAGUUAAAUAAAACCUUUAGUAGGUGGUUUAUUCUACGUCACUACUACUAAUUACCUUAUCAAUAAUUAAUUAAAUCUCUUUCUAUUCUUAUGGAAAGGAACUUAAAUUUUUUACUAGUUAAUUUUAUCUUUACACAAUCCUAUCAAAAUACAAGCCACUUAAACAACUCAAAACCACUACAAUUAAAAAAAAGUUUUAUAUUAUUUUUAUUUUAUUUU
rnacentral:lncRNA from 1 species